rnacentral:lncRNA from 1 species
UGUAACAAGCUCCUUCAUCGUUGCAAUCUAUGCAAAGAUUGCUUCUGAUUCUUCCUGCAAGCGGGUAAAAGCGAGUCAGGGUUUCCGAGAGAGAUUGUUUGAGUGCUUGUGAUCUUUCACUGCUAGUAGAAAUGGGAGGUGAAACAGGAGGAUAGAACAAGAUCAUGGGAACAUAAAUUGGAGGCAUUAAGUGAUCCAAGAGAGAAAAUUUGUAAGCGUUCAAGUGUGGAUGUGUUGGGGAAGAGGGCUUGAUGUACUCCUGGGAAAUUAUUUGGACCUCCAUUGGAGCAAGGCUUCAGAGAGUAUAUGAUCAAUGAUUUAGUUAACUAUAGCUUUUGCUGUCACAACAAAAUAGAUAGCUUUAGCUAUAUAUGAAUGGAUGAAGUUCGAUCAUGAGCUACUGCAGUACUCUAUGUACUGGAUCUUUCCUUGAUCAUCUCAAUCCGUUUGAAUUAAACUAUAUGCCAUUUGGAUUAUUAUUUUUUUUAUCAGAGUCGCUAAAACAUCACCUUCCAGUUGGUCAGAUGGUGUAUGAUAUGCCAUAGAAUAAUAGCAAAACCAGGUCAAUUAAACCAGAUUAGAACUACCCCGGAUAGAGCAGAUUGGGUAUCGUUGAAUACAAGCUAAUGAAAAUCUGCCAAAAUUGCAUUGUUUCCCAUUCUCCUGUAUCCAAGGAUGAUCGAUGACCUGAAGCGUGCCAAAAACGAGUGUAGAGGUUGUUACGGCACUCAUUUGGAAUGUACUGAGGCUGCACUUGGCUUCAACGCCAAAUGUUGCCAUACUUUAUAAAGUUAAGAAGGCUUGAUGCACUCUUUCGAAAUUAUACUUGCAUCCAUGCUUGAUUCUAGUCAUCUUGUUCAGCUCAAUAGGUCGAGUAUGGUACUGGUUCAGACCAAAAGAAAAUAAAAACGAGCUGCUUGGUUCAUAGGAAAGCAAGAGUGGAUCUCCAUAUCUUUUUAUAACCAACUAUGAUUCGUCUUAAUGGCAGUUGAGAUUUGAGGACAAGAUCCGCUAUACUAAGUGAUGAGCAAGUUAGCCAACUGGCCAAGUUUGUUUAUUAAUCACUACAGAGCUUACACAGCAAAAUUUAUUCACUCGAUUUUGACUUUUGACAGAAACAAAAUGAUAGUACAGCAGGAAUCAUUGCAAGGUUGAAUCAUACAAGUCUAUCUUACAAACUUUUACCAGCAAAAGGCUCAAAGCAGAAACAACAGAAAUGAUCAAAUGAUCAAAUAGAAACCAGUAUUUCGGUUUUACUUGAGGAUACUAGUAUUGAGACUAGCAAAAUUAAGCAAUUCUUGAUUGCUUUGAAACAAUUCCAUUUCUUCUUCAUGUAGAUUAAUCCAAGCUUCAAAUGCAUUGUUUCCCAUUCUCCUGUAUCCAUCAAAUGAACCUCAUUGAUUGAAAUGGCCUCGCGACCGGCAUUAUGAACUGGAACGACCCACAUAGGUUUUCCCCAGCCGAAAUCAGCAUCAUACACUCCAGAGUAGGCAAUACUGGUAUACCCAAUAAAGUUCAUCUCCCCAUCAGUAGUGGAGAUUGCAAUAGCCUCAUUCAUGUCUUGGAAAACCUUGCUAAUAGUUGCUAACCCACCUUGACCUUGUAGCUUCACCACCAAGUCACCAUUGACUUUCGAUGUUGCUUCCCUCAUCUUGCUCACCAAGCUUGACAACUCUAACUCCUCUUCUCCGUGACAUUCAUUUGCUAUUGCACCUGUCAAACAAACAAAAUUCCCCAUACUAUUUUGUGGAAGAUUCGGGUCAGCUCUUCGGCGCAAAUUCACUGCGUGAGUUAUCAAACAUGGUGCAGAUCGACCAGACUUGGCCUUCCAAGCAGCUCUUGCGCAUUUCAAGAUGAAUGCUGAAACUGCCUCCACCCGACUUGGAUUCUGUAAUGAUGAUGUUGCUGCUACCUCUUUAAGUUUGGCCACAGCUGAGGCCUCAAAUACAAACCUGUUUGUAACACUCCUUCCUUUCUUGGCAAAACGCCUGUAAAAUCCCCUCAUAGUUGCUUGUGUUGGGUGUGCACACUGUCCUUGUUCAUCAAGAAUUGGAGGAAACAAUGUUGCACCAUCAAAACUAGGCAACACAUGAAUACACUGAUCAGUACCUGAUUGACUCUGUGCUGUGGCUGCGGCCCAAGCUUUGAGAAAGGUGCUCAUGGCAACACCUGUUGGAGAGGAGAGAUCCCACAUUGGAAAAGUGACAAAUAAAAUAUAACUUAUAAGUGGGUGGAUCAUUCCUAAUUGUACCGAGGCCUUUUGUGAUUAAAACCCAACACCUUAAAGGUGGUUAAGUUGGGACAAACCCAUACUUCUGAGUAUAGCCUUUUGCUACUAACCUUGCCUUGUACCUGUCCACAAAACCAUCAGAAUUAUGUUUCAUCGUAUACACCCACCGACAACCAAUUGUCUUCUUCCCUGGUGGCAAUGACACUAACUCCCACGUAUGAUUCUUCUCAAGAGCAUCCAUCUCAACUUUCAUUGCCUGCAUCCACUUCUCAUCCUUCAUAGCAUCCUGCACUUUACUAGGAAGAGACACAGAAGAUAAUUGAUUCACAAAUGCUACAUAUGGUUUAGACAACCUGUGGGUAGACACAUAAUUAACAAUUGGAUAUUUAGCCUUAGCACUUAGAGUAGGUUCAUAAUAUUUUGGAGGCUGACCACGGGUUGAACGACUAGGCAAGAUUUUAGUUGGGACAUUAUUUGACACAGAAGAACUAGUAGAAAAACAAGGAUUAGGACAUACCUCGGGUGAUGAUUCAGCAGGUGAGACCGAUGAAGAAGAGGGAGAGACAGAAGAGCCAUUUAAAACAGCGCCAGAAGACUGCAACACAUCAUUAGAUUCAGGAUCUGAAAUCACUUCCCUAGCCGAUCGGUCGGAUUGUUCUGGAUCUAAUUGACCGUUGGGUAAAACACUGCCCAAAGAUUCUUCUCUAACCGGACAUUCUGACACGACCCACCCCGAAUUUCACCCUGAAACCCAGAGUAAGUCGUGCGGGGACCACUUCCAAGGAAAAUUUACUGAAAAGAUUAAGAAAAUCUCCCUUGCAGAUGGACAACCCUAACUCGAAAAUUUCAAAUUACACUCUUAAUUUAUCACUUCUGAACAACGCAUAAUAUACAAAAAUUCUAAAGUAAUUCAGAGCUACUAAACACAAGCGGAAGCAAGAAAACACGAGUAGGUUGAACAGGUAACCUACUGGCGAAAACUGGCAGAAAUGCGGGUGACUAUGCCUCGUCUCCUACUAGAUCCAACCCGAACUCUGCAGACUGGGCAAUUUAAAACGAAUGGCCCAGGGGAAAACAUUUAAUAACGUUAGAGUGAGUGGACAAAAAUAAAAUAAUAAAUAAAAUAUUUAUGUUUCCCCAAAUUAAUUCUAAGGAAAAAAUCGAAUGCAUGCCGCAAGCGAUAAAACUUUUAUCCCAUAAAAUAUCGAGCCUCUCAGACUCUAUAAUAUAUGUAUGUAUUUACACACGCCCAUACUCCCUAUAUAAAUUCAUGGGUCUAUAUAGGGCUACUACGCGCGCGUCCAACGCUCACGUCACGCCUUAAUGCGGUGCUACACUACGCCAUUAAGGUGGACAGACGGGUGUAUAAAUAUGUGUCCAUACCCCCUAUAUGAAUUAAACACUCAAAUAGGGCUACUACGCUUACGUCCAACGCUCACGUCACACCAUAAUGCGGCUAUAUGCUACGCCAUUAAGGUGGACAGACACAUAUGGCUAGCUAGCAUUUCAUACAUACUCUCUCAUAUAUACAUAUUUAUUUUCACCGAAAAUCCCAUUUUCGGUAACUCUCUNNNNNNNNNNNNNNNNNNNNGAGAAAAGAAGAAGAAAUGGGUUGGGCUCGGCCCAGCCGACCCAACACUCCUUUUAACCCAAAAUUCCAAAAUUCAACACCCCGAAAAAUAAUACCCGAAUAAAAAUUACCUUUUACUAGCUAAAAUUUACUAUUUUUACCGUCGUCGUAUUUUCCCCAUACGAAUUAUCCUCCGCACAUAAUCAUCCCCGAAACCCCUCUAGGGACCAAUUAAACUAUUUACUCAAAGAUCGGGACGGUAAAAUUCUUAUUAUAAUCACGCUAGUAAAUGAGGUAAAAAUAUAAGGGUCGGGAUGUGACACAUUCAGAUUGAACUGGUGUGUCACUGAUUCCACUUUUUUCUGUUUCUAUCUCGGAUGACUGAUCUGUAGAGUUGGGCUGACCAUUUGGUGAAAUUUUGUCGUUCUUUUCAAGCUCUGUCGCUACACACUCCACCCUUGUGACUUCUGGUGUCACACUCUCAUUAUGUCCAACAAACAAAUCUUCAUAAUAACUAAACCUCUCCCCCUGACGAGGAGUCACAGGAGGCAGGAAAUAACAUACAUCUUCACUGAAAGUAACAUCCAUGGUGACAUAAAACCUUUGGGACUGAGGAUGAUAACAUUUGUAGCCUUUCUGCUGAGAGCCAUACCCAACAAAUACACACUUAAGGGNNNNNNNNNNNNNNNNNNNNCUAGACCUAUGACUCUUAGCCGAAGCACAAGUUUCACAAUGCAAACUAGACUCACUCACUCCGAAAAACAACGAAGGCAUGGACUUUUUCAUUACCCCAAAAGAUGCAUGUCCCAAACGUCUGUGCCACAACCAUAACUCACUCAACCGAUCAGAACUCAAUGUCAGGGCCAAAGGUUGUUCUGGUGCUUGUGCUUGUCCUGUGUACAUGCAAUCUAAGUGAAACAGUCUCCCCCUCAGGUCUCCCUUGCCAAUGAUCACCCGAGUGCACAGAUUCUGAAAAACAACAUACAUUGGAUAAAAGGUCACGGAACACUUAUUUUGUGAACUCAACUGAGAUACUGAUAAUAGAUGAUGAGACAACGAGGGUACAUAAAGGCAUCAUGUAAAACAAUAGACGGUGUUACCUGGAUAGACCCAAUACCUAAGACCGGAAAAGAUGCACCAUUUGCAUUACAGACAUGAGAAAUAGGACGGAUAAGACAUAGACACAAAGAAAGAUUUAUCAUAGGUCAUAUGGUCUGACGCACCGGAAUCAAUAAUCCAUGUAUCUCCACCAGUAAAGUUAGCAACAUGUAAAGCAACACCAAAUUUACCUCGAGUUUCCUUAGUCAAGGAAAUAUUAUCUUUUGAAAAAUGAUCAGUGAUAUUUUGAAUGAUUACAACUUUUCGAGACGCACAACUUGAGUCUCCAGUCUCUUUAGCCCCGUCAGUGAUCUGGAAAUCAACCAUCUUCUCUAUUCUUCAAGUAUCAAUAUAUUAUUACCAGUCAAGGUUAACUUGAUCAGACCAAAACACAGAGGAACUAGCUUGCAAACUAGCUAGGAAUGUAUACCACGUGCUCCUUGAUUUGAUAUGGAUAUAUAUAUAGGCCACAGAAACCUGCUAAUUAAACAAGCAGGAGUUGUGCGACCUUGAGUCUCCACGUACCAACCUACCGAAACGGAUCCUUUUUCACAAAUCGCCAAAAAACCGGCAAACAAACCAAGCAACCACAGAGCAAGGCAAGUCAAGAAGAACUAAAAGAAAACUGAAUCUUCCGAUAAAAAAACCUCGUUCACACUACAAAGUAAGGCCAAUUCAGAAACAAUGGAACCCCAACGACUAAAAGAAACUUCAAUAAAUCUCAACGCCAAACGAACUAUAACUUCAAUAAUUCCAAACAAACCCCAAUGCCAGAAAAAACCAAAAGAACCAAAUUUGCAGCGGAAAGAAACAGCCGAGCCCGAAUGGAUCUCGGCUCUGAUACCAAGUCAAAUAGAACAAGGUAUUUGGGAAUUUCUGAUUAAUUCAUUCAUCCCUAAGAAUAGGGUUAAUAUACAUGAUACAUAGUAACCUAUUAGGAAACUAAUCCCUAUUAGGAAGCUAAUACUACUAAUAUAAUAUUUACAUUCCUAGCACCAUAAGGGUGCGUGACUCACGCCAACAACACCAUCAACAAUCAUGUGAGAAACAUACACUCCAAUCACAAGGCCGCCGCAGGCGAAGUUGGUUACUUGUAUCAUGACUACAUCAGCUCCUCCUCCGGGGGCGGUUGUGGUAUUUUUAAGUUGACCACUGUGAUCAAGCAUACUGUUGAAAGGUGGAAGAAGCUUUGGGAGUAGUGACAAAUCAGGAUGCUGCAGAAACUCCGAGAGGUCAUGUGACUCAACUUUAGCCUCUAUGUAACAAGCUCCUUCAUCGUUGCAAUCUAUGCAAAGAUUGCUUCUGAUUCUUCCUGCAAGCGGAUAGAAGCGAGUCAGGGUUUCCGAGAGAGAUUGUUUGAGUGCUUGUGAUCUUUCACUGCUAGUGGUAUUGAGAGGUGAAACAGGACGAUAGAACAAGAUCAUGGGAAUAUAAACUGGAGGCAUCAAGUGAUCUAAGAGAGAAAAUUUGUGAGUGCUUAAGUGUGGAGGUGUUGGGGAAGAGGGCUUGAUGUACUCCUUGGACAAUAUUCUGACCUCCAUUGGAGCAAAGCUUCAGAGAGUAUGUGAUCAAUGAUUUGUUAACUAUAGCUUUUGCUGUCACAACAAAAUAGAUAGCUCUACUAGCUAUAUAUGAAUGAAUGAAGUUCAUGAGCUACUGCAGUACUCUAUGUACUGGAUUUUUUCCUUGAUCUUCUCGAUCCGUUUGAAUUAAACCAUAUGCCAUUUGGAUUAUUUUUUUAUCAAAGUCGCUAAAACAUCACCUUCCAGUUGGUCAGAUGGUGUAUGAUAUGCCAUAGAAUAAUAGCAAAACCAGGUCAACUAAACCAGAUUAGAACGACCCCGGAUAGAGCAGAUUGGGUAUCGUUGAAUACAAGCUAAUGAAAAUCUGCCAAAAUUGCAAGGCAAGUUCAUUCAGACAUUUCAUCGAACAUCUUAUGUGCAAUCUUCACACUAAACUUAGGUCCGGUGAUGACGUAUUAAAAUAUUGUUGCAUGUGUUGGGCUUUAUUAGAGACUUGUUAAAUUUGGAUGAAAAAUCGUGACUUUAAAGACUAUUCAGAUUAAAAUAAAACCACAAAAACUAAACAGAUGUCGACUUCAAACCACAAAGACUAAACAAAUUACAAUUUUUUUUUUUUUCCAAUUACCCAGAUCUCUGUCUAAGUUCAUUCAUCUCCAACAAUCACAUGUAUCAAUUUCGCCUCACUCACAUUUCUCUUUUUGUUUUUACAGAGCCAGGUUUUCAUUGCGGUCCAUUGCAGAAUCAUUUUCACACCUCCAUGUAUGCCUUUAUUUAUAGCUGGAUUUGAUUUUCGUAUUUGUAUUUAUUUUCCGAGUUCUGAAUUGUUGUUAGUGUUGUUAUUGUAGGGACGAAGAAUUGGUCAUUGGAGACUACCAUUCUCAAACUCCUACUAGAUCAACUGGUAAUCUUUCAUAUAUAGCUCAUCUAGCCAAAUAGCCAGGUUCGUUUAUUGUUCAUUACUUGUAUUGCUACAGAGCCUACAUAGCAAAUUUUAUUCACUGGGCUUUGUCCAAAAGAAAAUGAUAGUACAUGAUAAAUGAUUGUAAAGGUAGAACUCUACAACUCUAUUUUACAAACUUUACCAGCAAAAGACUCGAAAGCAGAAACAGAAAUGAUGAAAUGAACAAUUGGAAACCAGUGUAUUGGUUUUACCUGAGGAGAAUACUAGGAUUAAGAGAAGCAAAAGCAAGCAAGUCCUGAUUGCUUUGCAAUAAUAUCAUUUCUUCCUCAGCUAGAGAAAUCCAAGCUUCAAAUCCAUUGUUUCCCCAUUCUCCUGUAUCCAUCAAACGAACCACAUUGACCGAAAAGGCCUCGUGGCAGGGCUCAUGAACUGGAGCGACCCACAGAGGCUUUCCCCAGCCGAAAUCGGCAUCAUACACUCCAGAGUAGGCAAUGCUUGUAUACCCAAUAAAGUUCAUCUCCACCUUAUCAUCCCCAUUAGUAGUGGAGAGUGCAAUAGCAUCAGCCAUGUCUUGGAAAACCUUACUCAAAGUCUCCAACCUGCCCUGAUCUUGUAGCUUCGCCACCAAGUCACCAUUGACUUUCGAUGUCGCUUCCCUCAUCUUGCUCACCAAGCUUGACAACUCUAACUCCUCUUCUCCGUGACAUUCAUUUGCUAUUGCACCUGUCAAACAAACAAAAUUCCCCAUACUAUUUUGUGGAAGAUUCGGGUCAGCUCUUCGGCGCAAAUUCACUGCGUGUGUUAUCAAACUUGGUGCAGAUCGACCAGACUUGGCCUUCCAAGCAGCUCUGGCGCAUUUCCAGAUGAAUGCCGAAACUGCCUCCACCCGACUUGGAUUCUGUAAUGAUGAUGUUGCUGCUAGCUCUUUAAGUUUGGCCACAGCUGAGGCCUCAAAUACAAAUCUCUUAUUAACACACCUUCCUUUCUUGGCAAAACGCCUGUACAAGCCCCUCAUAGUUGCUUCUGUUGGGUGUGCAAACUUUCCUUGUUCAUCAUGAAUCGGAGGGAACAAUGUUGCACCAUCAAAACUAGGCAACACAUGAAUACACUGAUCACCUGAUUGAUUCUGUGCUGUGGCUGCAGCCCAAGCCUGGAGAAAAGUGCUAAUGGCAACACCAUCAACAAUCAUGUGAGAAACAUACACUCCAAUCACAAAGCCGCCGCAGGCGAAGUUGGUCACUUGUACCAUGACUACAUCAGGUCCUCCUCCUGGGGUGGUGGUGGGAUUCGUAAGUUGAUCAGUGUAAUCUAGCAAACUGUUGAAAGGUGGAACGAGCUUAGGGAAUAGUGACAAAUCCGGAUGCUGCAGAAACUCCGAGAGGUCAUGAGACUCAACCUUAGCCUCUAUGUAAUAAGCUCCUUCAUCGUUGCAAUCUAUGCAAAGAUUGCUUCUGAUUCUUCCUGCAAGCGGGUAAAAGCGAGUCAGGGUUUCCGAGAGAGAUUGUUUGAGAGCUUGUGAUCUUUCACUGCUAGUAGAAAUGGGAGGUGAAACAGGAGGAUAGAACAAGAUCAUGGGAACAUAAACUGGAGGCAUUAAGUGAUCCAAGAGAGAAAAUUUGUAAGUGUUCAAGUGUGGAGGUGUUGGGGAAGAGGGCUUGAUGUACUCCUGGGAAAUUAUUUGGACCUCC